GCGGUAGCGCGCAGGGUCCGCCUACCGGUCGCGCGCCGCCGCCUCCGCCGCCGCUUGAGCCCAACAUGGCGAUGCACAACAAGACGGCGCCGCCGCAGAUCCCAGACACCCGGCGGGAGCUGGCCGAGCUGGUGAAGCGGAAGCAGGAGCUGGCGGAAACGCUUGCAAACUUGGAGAGACAGAUCUAUGCUUUUGAAGGAAGCUACCUGGAAGACACUCAGAUGUAUGGCAAUAUUAUCCGUGGCUGGGAUCGGUAUCUGACCAAUCAAAAAAACUCCAAUAGCAAAAACGAUCGGAGGAACCGGAAGUUCAAGGAGGCUGAACGGCUCUUCAGCAAAUCCUCAGUCACGUCGGCAGCAGCAGUAAGUGCCUUGGCAGGAGUUCAGGACCAGCUCAUCGAAAAGAGGGAACCAGGAAGUGGGACCGAAAGUGAUACUUCUCCAGACUUUCACAAUCAGGAGAACGAGCCCGCCCCGGAGGACCCUGAGGACCUGGACGGGUCCGUUCAGGGAGUGAAGCCCCAGAAGGCUGCCUCUUCUACCUCCUCAGGGAGCCAUCACAGCAGCCACAAAAAACGGAAGAAUAAAAACCGGCACAGCCCGUCUGGCAUGUUUGAUUAUGACUUUGAGUAUGUAUAUUAGGUUAGGCUGGGAAGUUUUUUUUAAAAACAGAAAAACGUGAUGGAGGAUUGAUCUGAAGUUAAACAAAAAGCCCCGAGCUGACUAUUAGAAGACUUGUUAGCAGCAGCUUCCGGCUGUGGAGCCCUGCUUCCCCUCUGACCUCACACAGCGACAAAUGUCCCUCACCUGACUGUGGCCAUCCGCCUCUGCUCCCCCAGACCCAGUGCCUGCAGCUGGCUAAUCUGUCCUAACCGUAGUGACGAGUCCUUUCUAUAAGACUGGGUCAUUCCUUGUCAUCCGGUAGUAGCAGAGCAGCGGGAAGAUCUGUCCUUGGUCCUAGUCCCCACGGGUGGCUAACUGUGCAUUUCUCCCUUCUUAGAAUGAAUGUCUCCCCCCAAACUGGCUGGCACCAGCUCCAUCUGUGACCCCACCCCCACCCCGCAUCGGGAAGUGCACACCUCUGAUUUUGUGUUAUGCUGAAGUAGAACCCAGGUUCCUCUGCAGAUGGAGGCUGUACAUAUCUGCCAUUCUUUUGUUUUGUUUUGUGUUGUAUUAUUUUUUUAUUGUUGUUUUUACCAUCUGAUUUUCUUUUGGGACAUUUUGUGAUGCCUGUACCUUCCUGAUGACACAUCUGAUCAACUGUUUCAUGUGCUGUCAAUAUUCAUAACUGAAACUAAAGUGGCUUUCUAGAAGUAAAUGGGCAACUUGG